rnacentral:misc_RNA from 1 species
UCCAACUUAUCGCUGGCGGUCUCCUGCGAGUCCCCCCUUACGGGAUGGCAACACAGGACAAGGGUUGCGCUCGUUGCGGGACUUAACCCAACAUCUCACGACACGAGCUGACGACAGCCAUGCAGCACCUCGACUCCACUCCCUUGCGGGAUACCGGUAUUUCUACCGGCGUUGAGAAGCCGUUCGAGCCCAGGUAAGGUUCUUCGCGUUGCGUCGAAUUGAACCACAUGCUCCACCGCUUGUGCGGGCCCCCGUCAAUUCCUUUGAGUUUCAGCCUUGCGGCCGUACUCCCCAGGCGGGGCACUUAAUGCGUUAGCGCCGGCACUCAAGGGGUCGCUCCCCCAAGCACCUAGUGCCCAUCGUUUACGGCAUGGACUAC